UAUUUGUUUGCAGAAGAAAGUUUGUUUUCCGCAGUGCAAGGUGUGGCAUGGGGCCGGUAUGGCGGGGUAAACUUUGACCAGGUAAAAAGCCAUUUAAACCGCCAGGAUAUGACGAUCGGAACCGGCAGCUAGCUGAAGUAUCAUGGAAAUGUGGGCCGAGGAUACACAAGUUUGCAGCAAUGCACAAGGGAAACCUUAGUUGAUCGCCAGCUCUAGUAUAUGCUAAAAGGUCCCACAGACCUGCUUUGUCACACUUUGAUGGA